rnacentral:rRNA from 1 species
GAUGUGUCAUUGGAAACUGGGAGCUUGAGUGCAGAAGAGGAGAGUGGAAUUCCAGGUGUAGCGGUGAAAUGCGUAGAGAUAUGGAGGAACACCAGUGGCGAAGGCGGCUUUCUGGUCUGUAACUGACGCUGAGGCUCGAAAGCGUGGGGAGCAAACAGGAUUAGAUACCCUGGUAGUCCACGCCGUAAACGAUGAGUGUUAGGUGUUGGAGGUUUUCAGCCCUUCAGUGCGGCAGUUAAGCCAUUAAGCACUCGCCUGGGGGAGUACGUCGCCAAGAUUGAAAUUCAAAGGAAUUGAGGGGGGCCCGCCCAAGCGGUGGACCAUGUGGUUUAAUUGGAAGCAACGGGAAGACCUUUCCCAGUUCUGACCAUCUUUUGACCCCCUAGGGAUAGGGGGUUCCCUUUGGGGGCAAAGGUGCCAGGUGGUGCAUGGUGUUGUUCAGCUCGGUUCGUGAGAUGUUGGGUUAAGUCCCGCAACGAGCGCAACCCUUAUCUUUAGUUGCCACCAUUCAGUUGGGCAUUUUAGCAAGACUCCCGUUGCCAACCCGGAGGAAGUCGGGGAUGACGUCAAAUCAUCAUGCCCCUUAUGCCUUGGGUUACACACGUGUUCCAAUGGUAGGUACAAGGGGUUGAUACCCCCAGAGGUUAACCCAUUCUAUUAAAGCCUUUUUCAGUUCGGAUUGCAGGCUGCAAUUCGCCUCCAUGA